UCUGCAGACAGAGAACCCAGCUUACUUCCAGACCUCCUCCAGGGUAGACAGAUCGCACAGAAGCACUCAGUAUUCUCAUGUUAGAGAUGGGGAAACUGGAGCUUGGAGUCUUAGUGGAAACCCUGGGCCUCACUGAUAUUCCAGCAGUCCUCUCCUACUGGGUGAAUAGGAGCAUCUGAAAAUAACCAGAUCAGGGACGGAGGAGUCAAGGCACAAGGUGAGUCCCGCCAUUCUGUACGUGGUAAGGCACUAUUGUCAUGAUUUUUCCUUACUGGAUACUAGAUUUUCCCAUGGUUGAGGUCACAGUUCAGGAGACAGGCUCCAACCCGUCUCACAGGAACUGCUUUCCCCAAACGAUAAACAUCAGUACUGCCCAAGACUCUGAUGGCCAUAAAGCGUAUCCUCUUCCCUGCAAGUGACUUAGGGAGAACCACAGAUCCAUCUCUCAGUUACAGCUAGGGUGAACCAAGCAACAGAGGGUUAAGUGACUUGACCGAGGUCACCAAAGAAGAUCCUGGCAGCACCAAGCCCAGCCUGGCCCACCCCCAGGUAUGAGCAUGGUCCAUUAUGCUAUCCAGCCUAGGCCCAUCCGACAGAAACAAAAACUACUGAUCGUUCGUUCAUUCAUUCAUUCCUUCAUUCAUUCAUUCAUUAUGUCCCAGAUGCCAUGCAAAAGGUGCUGGGACUACAUUAGAACAUUAAAAAAAACACAGGAUCCCAGCCCUCAAGGGGCUUUUAGUCAAGGGCUGGAGCCAAUUAGAGAGUGGGAAAGUCUGGCUGGGUGUGGUGGCUCACAACUGUAAUCCCAGCACUUUGGGAGGUCAAGGCAGGAAGACUGCUUGAGCCCAGAAGUCUGAGACCAGCUUGGGCAGCACAGUGAGACCCCCAUCUCUAUAAGAAAUUUAAAAAUUAGCUGGGCAUGGUGGCAUUUACCUGUAGUCCCAGCCACUUGGGAGGCUGAGGUGGGAGGUUUGCUUAAGCCUGGGAGGUUGAGGUUGCAGUAAGCCGUGAUUGUGCCAUGCACUCCAGCCUGUGUGACAUGGUGAGACCUUGUCUCAAAAAAAAAAAAAAAAAAAAAAAAAGAAAGAAAAAGAGAGAGUGGGAAGGUCCUUCCAGGGCUCAGUCUGCUCAGGGACAAUGGUAUGUAAUGUCUGGGGGUGCUGCGGAGGAAUGAUAUUCUUUGAAGGUACAGGAUUGUUGGGCGCAGUGGUUCACACCUAUGAUCCCAGCACUUUGGGAGACCAAGGAGGGCAGAUUGCUCACACUCAGGAGUUCAAGACCAACCUAGGCAACACAGUGAGACCCUGUUUCUACCAAAAAUACAAAAAAUUAGCAGGGCAUGGUGGCACAUGCCUGUAGUCCCAGCUACUCGGCAGGCUGAGGCAGGAGAAUCACUUGAACCUGGGAGGUGGAGGGAGGUUGUAGUGAGCCAAGGUGGUGCCAUUGCACUCCAGCCUGGGUGACAGAGGGAGACCCCAUCUCAAAAAAAAAAAAAAAAAAAAAAGAAAGAAAGAAACAGGAUUGAUGGAGACAGACGUUCUCACCAUCCCCUAAAAGGAGCAUGAAUGAGUCAACAUAUCCCUGUCUAAAUAGCCAUCAACCAUUUACUGAGCACCUACUAUAUACCACAUCUGUGUCAGAAGCUGGAGAUAAAGAAAUCAAUGAUAGAUAGCUCCUGCUCUUAAAGAACUUAAAUCAGAGGGGGAGACAAGUACAUUAAAACACGUCAUAAGAACAGAGAAUGAUAGGAACAAGGAAGGGAAGGCCCUAACCCACAUUGGGAGUGGUGAGGGAAACCUCCAGGUGGGGAGGUAUUCCCUGCACUGAGUCUUAAAGGACAACAAGGUGUUAACCAGCUCAAGACAAAGCAGGGACAUGGGCAGAAAAACAGGACACGGGGUCCAUGGGGGUGAACUAUAAGCAACUUGGUAUAAGCAGCUCCAUUGGACCGAAAUGGAGAAGCAAAGCAAGGGUGAGAGGUAAGUGGGGCCCAGGAGCAACAUCCAGCCUGGUGGGGCUGGGAGUGGGGGGCUGCCUGCUUGGACACCCCUCUUCCCCAUUCCAUCACCCAGGACCCUCCCACCCAUCCUGCAAACACCAGCUGCAAGUGCCUUGAGGCCGGGGAACACCCUUUCUCCUCUUCAGUCCCAGCACAGGCCUUGGUAUAGAAUAGGUGCUAACUAAAUGCUUGCUAAAUGCAUGCCAGGGGAAUAAAUUAAUGAUACAGCUUCCUGGGAGCAGGGACAGCCUGACUUCACCUCCGUGACCUGGGGGCCUUGCACGGCGGCAGUAGGUACUCAGUGGACUGCAUUGAGCCAGGCCAGGGGCCAUGUCCGGUUCAAUAGGUGUCCCCUGUCCCCAGGACAAGCCUCCCAAAGAGAAGCGCCCAGUCUGUGGUCACCUGAACAAAGGUCAAUCAAGCCCCACCCUCCUUCAGGCCUCGACUCCGUCUCCAGCUCCUCUGGGGCCAUGUCCAUUGCCACGCCCCUUUUGAAUGUAGGUAUCAUUUACAGCCCAACCUGUCCUCACUCAAGCCCUUGACCUGGAGGCAGUAAAGGGCAGUGGCUAAGGGCUCAGAACUGGGUAUGGGGUACUUUAAUUUGAACCUUCACUUUGCUACUUCUUCGCUGUGUGACCCUGGGCAAGUCCCUUAACCUCUCUGAGUCUCACUUAUCCUCAUCUACAAAACAGGGAGGCAUACGAACAAGCCCUUCAUAGAUGUGCUGCGAGAUAAUGCUCGAAAAGCAUUUAGCAUGGCGGCUGGUAUGUAGUAGGUGCUCAAUCAAUGUUAUUUAGUGACUCUUACUAUACUCCCUUCAUUUCACGAGAGGGAAAGUCUUGCCACCUUAGAGCCUUCAAUAUGCUGUUCUCUCCACUUGGAACACUUUUCCCCUCAUCUUCCCAGCUGGUUCCCUCUCCUCUUUUAGAGCUCUGCCUAAAUGUUACCUCCUGGACUGUGACCCACACACUACUGUAUCUCCUGCACCCCGCACAGUGCCAGGCACAGGGUAGACACUCAGUCAGCUGUAAUCCCAGCACUUCGGGUGGCCAAGGAGGUCAGAUCACUUGAGGUCAGGAGUUCGAGACCAGCCUGGCCAACAUGGCAAAACCCCGUCUCUACUAAAAAUACAAAAAUUAGCCAGGCAUGAUGGCAGGCGCCUGUAAUCCCAGCUAGUCGGGAGGCCGAGGUAGGAGAAUCACUUGAACCCAGGAGGUGGAGGUUAUAGUGAGCUGAGAUCAUGGUGCUGCACUCCAGCCUGGGCAACAGAGUGAGACUCUAAAAAAAAAAAAAAAGAAGGAAAGAAGGAAAGUAAGAAAGAAAGGAAGAAAGAGAGAUAGAGAAAAGAAAAGAAUAAAAGGAAUUUUUAAAAAGAAGGAAGAGGCCGGGCAUGGUGGCUCACACCUUUAAUGCCAGCACUUUGGGAAAUCGAGGAGGUCAGAUCACUUGAGGUCAGGAGUUUGAGAACAGCCUGGCUAACAUGGCAAAACCCCGUCUUUACUAAAAAUACAAAAAUUAGCUGGGUGUGGUGGCGCAUGCCUGUAAUCCCAGCUACUCAGGAGGCUGAGGCAGGAGAGUCACCUGAACCAAGGAGGCAGAGGUUAUGUGAGCCGAGAUCAAGCCACCACACUCCAGCCUGGGUGACAAAGUGAGACUGUCUCAAAGAAAAAAAAAAGAAUAAAAUGAAUUAAAAAAAAAAAAGGAAGGACCACACUGCCUUUUCAACUCCAUCACCAGCUUCUGAAAGAGGAAUAUGAUUUUCAUCCUCUUUGUUUGGGACAUCUCUCCCAGUGCCAUGCACACAACAAGCACUUAAUCCAUACUUCCAGGUAGAUCUGAAUCUCUGCUGAGUUCUGUAAAAGCUUUCUAAGCAAGCCAGUGUAUGACCAUGGAGCGAAGGUAAGACCGGUGCAGGCAGCCGCACAUCUCACGGCAGGGCCGUGGGGCUUCAGCAUCUGGCUCUUCCUCCCACAUCAUUCAGCUACUUCUCCUUCACCUCGACCCAGCGCAACCAUAGUUGGCUGUGUUUCUGCCUCUCUGGCCCCACGAGCCCCUCUCCAGCUGGUUAAAUUCAGAGGUUUCAGCAUCCCAGCCUCCUGUGUCCCAGCCGGCAUCUCAUGGGCCCUGUGCCACCAGCAAGUCCCAGCUGCAGGCCCAGGAUUUCCCUCUUGUGACCGUAUUAGGAAGCAGCUCCAGUUUUUCUCUGACGCUUUAUAUGGUCAGCCACAGAGCCCUGAGCAGGGGGUGCUCCCAGGGCCUGCAGAAGAAAUGAGGAACAGGGAGGGAAGUGGAAGGAACACUGGCUUUCAGACACACAGGGAUGGCCAGGUGCAGUGGCUCACACCUGUAAUCCCGGCACUUUGGGAGGCCAAGGUGGGUGGAUCACCUGAGGUCAAGAGUUCGAGACCAGCCCGGCCAACACAGUGAAACCUCAUCUCUACUAAAAAUACAAAAAAUUAGCAAGGUGUGGUGGCGCGUGCCUGUAGUCCCAGCUACUCGGGAAGCUGAGGCAGGAGAACUGCUUGAACUCAGGUGGCAGAGGUUGCAGUGAGCUGAGAUUGUGCCACUCCACUCCAGCCUGGGUGAUAGAGCGAGACUUGGUCUCAAAAAAAAAAAAGACACACAGGCCUGGGCAGAGUGUUUGCUUUGCGUUAUCACCUGCCUGACUUGUACAUACAGAACUACCCCUGAGCUUCCUCAGUAAAGUGAUGGAUAAUCAUGGCUUCUUUAUGAAGCUGCAGUGCAAUAUCAUAGCUUUCUAAAUACCCAACCUAGAGACAGACGUGGUCCACCAAGCACGUGCUUUUGCUGCAGCCUUGCUUUUAAGAGCAAAAAGACUAGAAACAACCUAAAUACCUGUCAAUAGCAGACAGGCUUAAUCAUUAUGGUUCAUCCCUAUAGCAGAAGACUGUGCAGUGGCCCUCUCUCUGCUACCAUGGAUGAAUGGCCAAAAUACACAGUUAGAUGCAAAGAUUGCGACACACAACAGCCGGGGCCUGUGCUGCCAUUUUGGAGGGGUGCAGGAGGGGCUCUCUAUGUGGCUGCAUGUGUAUAAAACAUCACUGGAGGCUGGAUGGAGCAGCUCACACCUGUAAUUGUAGCACUUUGGGAGGCUGAGGUGGGUGGAUCACUUGAGGUCAGGAGUUCAAGACCAGCCUGGCUAACAUGGCAAAAACCCAUCUUUACAAAAAAUACAAAAAUCAGCUGGGUGUGGUGAUGCACACCUGUAAUCCCAGCUACUCAGGAGGCUGCGGCAGGAUGAUCGCUUGAAUCCAGAAGGCAUAGAUUGCAGGAGCCGAGAUCGCACCAUUGCACUCCAGACUGGGUGACAGAGUGAGACUUUAUCACAAAAAAAGCAAUAGGCUGGGCACAGUGGCUUAAGCCUGUAAUCCCAGCACUCUGGCAGGCCGAGGCAGGUGGAUCACCUGAGGUCAGGAGAUCGAGACCAGCCUGGCUAACAUGGCAAAACCCCCUCUCUACUAAAAAUACAAAAAUCAGCUGGGUGUGGUGGUGCACGCCUGUAGUCUCAGCUACUUGGGAGGCUGAGGGAGGAGAAUUGCUUGAACCUGGGAGGGGGCUGUUGCAGUGAGCCAAGAUCAUGCCACUGCACUCCAGUCUGGGUGACAGAGUGAGACUCUAUCUCAAAAAAUAAUAUAAAUAAAUAAAUAACAUGACUGGAGGGCUACAUAUGUAACCAGCAACCACAGUGUCUCUAAGAAGGGGAACUGGAAGGGCGAGAAAUAGGAACGAAGGGGGAAGUUCUAUAUUCCCUUAUACACUAUUUUGUUUCAUAUUUGCAUGUCUUACCUAUUCAAAAACAUAUUUUAAGUCUGACUAGAUGGUUAUGAACAGACAGAAAAAACUAUAAGGUAGGGUUAAGUGGAAAAAAAAUCAUACUGCAAAACACAAGGAGUGACUUUUUCUUAUGUUUGGUGUGUGUGUGUGUGUGUGUGUGUGUGUGUGUGUGUGUGUGUACAUACAUGAACCUGUGAAUCAUGUUUGCCUCCAGGGAAGAGGGCUGCUUUCUGUGAUACAUACUUAUUUUAAAAUAUUCUCCUGAGGUCUUUGCGUAGAUUAUCCUUGUAUUACUGGAGGAGGUUCUUUGAAGCAAUAAUGACUUGAAAGAUCAGAAGCCUGGGUGCAGUGGCUCAUGCCUGUAAUCCCAGCACGUUGGGAGGCGGAGGUGGGAGGAUCAUCUGAGUUCAGGAGUUCAAGACCAACCUGGCCAACAUGGUGAAACCACUUCUCCAUUAAAAAUACAAAAAUUAGCUGGGCGUGGUGGCAUGUGCCUGUAAUCCCAGCUACUGGGAGGCUGAGGCACAAGAAUCGCUUGAACUCAGGAAAUGGACGUUGCAGUGAGCCAAGAGCACACCACUGCUCUCCAGCCUGCGUGACAGAGCGAGACUCCAUCUAAAAAAAAAAAAAAAAACAAA